AAUGCUUAUGAGAUAGAGCUACCUGAAGAUUACGGAGUAUCCCCAACAUUUAAUGUGGCUGAUUUGAGUCCUUUUUAUAAUCAUGUUGAUGAAUCAAACGAAGACUUGAGGACAAGUCUCAUUCAACCGGGGGAGAUUGACACGGGAGUGUCUAAUUUACUACAAUCUGAUUAUAUGAGCCUUGAUUAUGAUCUAGUAUCUUUUUUAGUCAAUAAUGAUGCCUCAUAAUCUUUAUCUCAGCACACUCAAAUAUGACAGCUCAUCAGCAUAUUCUCUGCACAAAGUUAAAGCUGUUUCAAGGUGCUUUUCUUCAAGACAAAGGAAUACAUUAAAGGAGUUGGUUGGCA
rnacentral:lncRNA from 1 species